GUGUCAGCAGCCGCGGUAAUACGUAGGUGGCAAGCGUUGUCCGGAUUUAUUGGGUUUAAAGGGUGCGUAGGCGGCCCUGUAAGUCAGUGCUGAAAUAUCCCAGCUUAACUGGGAGGGUGGCAUUGAUACUGCGGGGCUAGAGUACAGAUGAGGUAGGCGGAAUUGACGGUGUAGCGGUGAAAUGCUUAGAUAUCGUCAAGAACACCUAUAGCGAAGGCAGCUUACUAGGCUGUAACUGACGCUGAGGCACGAAAGUGUGGGGAUCAAACAGGAUUAGAUACCCUGGUAGUCCACACUGUAAACGUUGAUUACUCGCUGUGUGCGAUAUACAGUACGCGGCCAAGCGAAAGCGCUAAGUAAUCCACCUGGGGAGUACGCCGGCAACGGUGAA
rnacentral:rRNA from 1 species